rnacentral:rRNA from 1 species
AACGGCCAUACCAUGCUGAAUAUACCGGUUCUCGUUAGAUCACCGAAGUCAAGCAUCAUUGAACGCGGUCAGCACUUGGGUGGGUGACCACCUGGGAACACCGCGUGCUGUUG